GUUAGUGUAGCAUGACCCGGUUAUGCAAUAGGCCUAAGCCCUCUCCCUGUGGGUUCAAAUCCCCCCAUUAACU
rnacentral:tRNA from 1 species